AUGAGUGGCGAACGGGUGAGUAACACGUGAGUAACCUGCCCUCUUCUUUGGGAUAACGCCCGGAAACGGGUGCUAAUACUGGAUAUUCACUGAUCUUCGCAUGGGGGUUGGUGGAAAGGUUUUUUCUGGUGGGGGAUGGGCUCGCGGCCUAUCAGCUUGUUGGUGGGGUGAUGGCCUACCGAGGCUUUGACGGGUAGCCGGCCUGAGAGGGUGACCGGUCACAUUGGGACUGAGACACGGCCCAG
rnacentral:rRNA from 1 species